rnacentral:rRNA from 1 species
CUACGGGGAGCAGCAGUAGGGAAUCUUCCACAAUGGGCGCAAGCCUGAUGGAGCAACACCGCGUGAGUGAAGAAGGGUUUCGGAUCGUAAAGCUCUGUUGUUGGUGAAGAAGGAUAGAGGCAGUAACUGGUCUUUAUUUGACGGUAAUCAACCAGAAAGUCACGGCUAACUACGUGCCAGCAGCCGCGGUAAUACGUAGGUGGCAAGCGUUGUCCGGAUUUAUUGGGCGUAAAGCGAGCGCAGGCGGAAUGAUAAGUCUGAUGUGAAAGCCCACGGCUCAACCGUGGAACUGCAUCGGAAACUGUCAUUCUUGAGUGCAGAAGAGGAGAGUGGAAUUCCAUGUGUAGCGGUGGAAUGCGUAGAUAUAUGGAAGAACACCAGUGGCGAAGGCGGCUCUCUGGUCUGCAACUGACGCUGAGGCUCGAAAGCAUGGGUAGCGAACAGGAUUAGAUACCCUGGUAG